rnacentral:rRNA from 1 species
CCGAGCAACGCCGCGUGAACGAUGAAGUAUUUCGGUACGUAAAGUUCUUUUAUUAGGGAAGAAUAAAUGAUGGAAAAAUCAUUCUGACGGUACCUAAUGAAUAAGCCCCGGCAAACUAUGUGCCAGCAGCCGCGGUAAUACAUAGGGGGCAAGCGUUAUCCGGAAUUAUUGGGCGUAAAGGGUGCGUAGGCGGUUAAAUAAGUUUAUGGUCUAAGUGCAAUGCUCAACAUUGUGAUGCUAUAAAAACUGUUUAGCUAGAGUAAGAUAGAGGCAAGUGGAAUUCCAUGUGUAGUGGUAAAAUGCGUAAAUAUAUGGAGGAACACCAGUAGCGGAAGGCGGCUUGCUGGGUCUUUACUGACGCUGAGGCACGAAAGCGUGGGGAGCAAA